AGUGAACGCUGGCGGUAGGCCUAACACAUGCAAGUCGAACGGCAGCACAGUAAGAGCUUGCUCUUACGGGUGGCGAGUGGCGGACGGGUGAGGAAUACAUCGGAAUCUACUUUUUCGUGGGGGAUAACGUAGGGAAACUUACGCUAAUACCGCAUACGACCUACGGGUGAAAGCAUGGGAUCUUCGGACCUUGCGCGAUUGAAUGAGCCGAUGUCGGAUUAGCUAGUUGGCGGGGUAAAGGCCCACCAAGGCGACGAUCCGUAGCUGGUCUGAGAGGAUGAUCAGCCACACUGGAACUGAGACACGGUCCAGACUCCUACGGGAGGCAGCAGUGGGGAAUAUUGGACAAUGGGCGCAAGCCUGAUCCAGCCAUACCGCGUGAGUGAAGAAGGCCUUCGGGUUGUAAAGCCCUUUUGUUGGGAAAGAAAAGCAGCAGGUUAAUACCGCGCUGUUCUGACGGUACCCAACGAAUAAGCACCGGCUAACUUCGUG
rnacentral:rRNA from 1 species